rnacentral:rRNA from 1 species
UACGGGGGGGGCAAGCGUUGUUCGGAAUUACUGGGCGUAAAGGGCUCGUAGGCGGCCAACUAAGUCAGACGUGAAAUCCCCAGGCUUAACCUGGGAACUGCGUCUGAUACUGGAUGGCUUGAAUUCGGGAGAGGGAUGCAGAAUUCCAGGUGUAGCGGUGAAAUGCGUAGAUAUCGAGAGGAACACCUGCGGCGAAGGCGGAUCUCUGGGCCGUAACUGACGCUGAGGAGCGAAAGCAUGGGGAGCGAACAGG